CGCUGGCUAGGACUUCGCUCGCACUCCCCCUAGCGGAUUGGCUAAGGCCGAGCGGCCCUGGUGAUGUCAUCAGUGAGACGUGGCAGCCGGGCGAGUCAGUGCCCCACCAGGGAGGGGGAAGUGCAGCCUCAUGAACACCAAGGGAAUCCUUUAUUUUCAAGAAGAAUGAUGAAUUACUACGAAAUACCACUUCCUGCCCACUAAAAUGGCAAGAGUCAAAAAUUCAGUUCUGCAUUUCUCAACAGUAGCAUUAUUGACAUCUUGAGCUGGAUCACCCUUCUUCCUUCUCCUCUUCUUUUGUGUGCAAUGUGAGGAAUAUGGACCAGGACCUCCUGCGUGCUCAACAAGCCCUACUACUGAGCUACACCACCAGCCUCUGAAUAAAUUGUUUUUUUUUUUUUUUGAGAAUUUAAAAAAUUUUAUUAGAAAUAACUUUAUAUUAAAAUUUUACUUGUAUGGAAUUUUUACUUCACUUUUCAGUCACAAAAACAAUGAAUCUUCCCCGCCCUCUCAGGAGAGAUCUGUUAUUGAAAUGCCAACAAAUAAUAUUAAAAAAAUAAAAGUUAUUCCUCCUCCU